rnacentral:ncRNA from 1 species
GGAUGCGAAAAGCGUCCUCUACAAGUGUGUAGAUAGCGUCCAUAUUGGCCUAUGGCGUGGUCUGUGAAUC